GUCCACGCCGUAAACGAUGUUCACUAGGUGUUGGGGGUAUUGACCCCCUCAGUGCCGGAGCUAACGCGUUAAGUGAACCGCCUGGGGAGUACGGUCGCAAGACUAAAACUACAAAGGAAUUGACGGGGGCCCGCACAAGCGGUGGAGCAUGUGGUUUAAUUCGAUGCAACGCGAAGAACCUUACCUGGGCUUGACAUCCACGGAACCUGCUGGAAACAGUGGGGUGCCUUUCGGGGAGCCGUGAGACAGGUGCUGCAUGGCUGUCGU
rnacentral:rRNA from 1 species